ensembl:snoRNA
ACCUCCUUGUUUAAGCUCUGUACUAAAAUUGCAGAAACUAGUAUCAUGUCUUACCAUUUGUAAUAAAGCUAUCAGAGAAAACCCAAGAAAAAAAACAACAACUGUACCAGAUAGAAAAACUGAGUUGAACCUUUUUUUUUCUGUUUUUUAGAUGGAGUCUUACUC